rnacentral:rRNA from 1 species
GACGAACGCUGGCGGCGUGCUUAACACAUGCAAGUCGAACGGACAGACCAUGCUUUUGUGCGUUGCUCGAUUGGCGAAGGGGUGAGUAACACGUGAGUAACCUGCCCUUGACUUUGGGGUAACUUCAGGAAACUGGGGCUCAUACCGGAUAGGAGCUCCUGCUGCGUGGUGGUGGUUGGAAAGUUACGGCGGUUGGGGCUGGACUCGCGGCUUAUCCGCUGGUUUGGGGGGUAGUGGCUUACCAGGGCUUUGACGGGUAGCCGGCCUGAGAGGGUGACCGGCCACCUGGGUCCUGCGAUACGGCCCAGACUCCUACGGGAGGCAGUAGUGGGGAAUAUUGCACAAUGGGCGGAAGCCUGAUGCAGCAACGCCGCGUGCGGGAUGACCGCCUUCGGGUUGUAAACCGCUUUCGCCUUUGACGAAGCGUGAGUGACGGUACUGGGUAAAGAAGCACCGGCUAACUACGUG